rnacentral:misc_RNA from 1 species
UCCCGGUUGGCCCGGGCAGUCUCGCAUGAAAAAUACAACAUACGAUAAGGGUUGCGCUCGUUGCGGGACUUAACCCAACAUCUCACGACACGAGCUGACGACGGCCAUGCAGCACCUGUCACUAGGCUCCCGAAGGCACCCCUCUGUUUCCAGUGGGUUCCUAGGAUGUCAAGCCUUGGUAAGGUUCUACGCGUAGCGUCAUAUUAAACCACAUCAUCCUCUGCUUGUGCGGGUCCCCGUCAAUUCCUUUGAGUUUUAGCCUUGCGGCCGUACUUCCCAGGCGGCAUACUUAUCGCGUUAGCUGCGUCUCACAGGGGGUCGAUACCCCAUAAGACUAGUAUGCAUCGUUUACGGCGUGGACUAC